rnacentral:lncRNA from 1 species
GUUUCUCUAGGGAAUAGCAAUUUUAUAGUGGUUAGUCUAAUAAUUUAGGAAGUAUUUGCAGUUUUGCUAAAUUAAUGGAUAAAAAAUUAGAACGAUGUCCAUGUACCAUGAAAAGAAAUUUAUCAUACAUUAAUACAAAAGUAUAAUGUGGUUUUAAAUUUUAAAACAAAUUUAAAGAUUAUAGGCUUCAUAUAUAGAGCAUUUACCGAAAACUCACUAUUUUCAUUGGGGGGUACACAUAGAUUUUGAGAAAAAUUCAAAAAAUUUGACAAUACUGUUUUAAUACAUAUUUGAAUCACGUAAUAAAAUAUGAUGAAGUUCAAAGAGGUUUGGAAC